UCCAAUUUCAUACAUGGAUGCACCUUAAAGCUUCGUGGCUGCAUGAUAGCAACAUCGAAUGGAUUCACAAUUGCAAUUAUACAGGAUUGUCUGGAAGCAUGUAGCCUGUACCUGGAAGCAUACAGUCUGUAUACUGCAUGUAUAUAAAGAAUCACAUUUUCUUAUGACCAUGCAUGCAUGCGUUCACUGCAAUUACUCUCAAGUUGUUAAAGAUUUUCUUUGGAUAUAUCAUCAUGAAGAUUUCAGUGAUUGCCACUGUGGCUCUGCUAUCUCUCCUGGCUCUGGCCUCUUCUGCUUCUAAUCGUUAUUAUUAUCAGGAGAUACUUGCCCAGCUGCAAAAAGAUGUUAAACAGGCCGAUAAGCAUAUGCAUGCUAUGGCUGAACAAAAAGAUGGCCCAGCUCGUCAGCAACACUAUUAUCAGCUAAAGAAUGCCCUGCUACAACAAAAUGGCCCAGCUGCUCAUGUCAAUGGAAACGGUAUGACCGUCCAGUUUGCCUAUUAUGGUUUAUCCUGUGUUCAGUACGAGCUCGAGUACUUAGAUCAAUACGUUAGCACUAACUGGGUCAGGAAGUUGUGUAAUGGAAGGACCAGCUGCUCUGGAACUGUAUCUACUACAGUUCUCAUGGAUCCUUACCACGGUUGUGCAAAAGACUUUCUUGCCAUUGCAGAAUGCCCCAAUGGGGACGUCAUAACUGACUUCUUGUCAAAGGAAGCUGAGGGGACGACGUUUUCUCUGCAUUGCUGAGUAUUAGUAAAACCAGUAGGUUUUACAUAGGAUUGGCAGUGGGUUUGCCCGUGUUUAGCAAUAUUUCAAUUAUUUUGACUCAUGUUCAAACUGUUCUAUCUCUGCAGGGAAAGGCCACAUCAAGAAACUGGCUGAACAGAUAGUUUAUUUAGCCUUUUCUCUCUUUGUAUCUCUCAUUUCAUAAUCCAUAAACAUUUUAAUGAAUGAAUAUUUUCAUUUUAAAAA